GCAAUUUUAGAUAAGUUGUUGUUAAAUAAGGCUUCGCAAAUCAUUCGUAAUGAUUAGGUCGUCGGUUCGACUCCGAUAGCCGGCUCAA
rnacentral:tRNA from 1 species